AGUGAACGCUGGCGGUAGGCCUAACACAUGCAAGUCGAACGGCAGCACAGUAAGAGCUUGCUCUUACGGGUGGCGAGUGGCGGACGGGUGAGGAAUACAUAGGAAUCUACUUUUUCGUGGGGGAUAACGGAGGGAAACUUACGCUAAUACCGCAUACGACCUACGGGAGAAAGCAGGGGAUCUUCGGACCUUGCGCGAUUGAAUGAGCCGAAGUCGGAUUAGCUAGUUGGCGGGGUAAAGGCCCACCAAGGCGACGAUCCGUAGCUGGCCUGAGAGGAUGAUCAGCCACACUGGAACUGAGACACGGUCCAGACUCCUACGGGAGGCAGCAGUGGGGAAUCUUGCACAAUGGGCGCAAGCCUGACCCAGCCAUGCCGCGUGGGUGAUGAAGGCCUUCGGGUUGUAAAGCUCUUUUGUUGGGAAAGAAAAGCAGCAUGUUAAUCCCCGGCCGUCCUGACGGUACCCAAAGAAUAAGCCCCGGCUAACUUCGUG
rnacentral:rRNA from 1 species